GACGAACGCUGGCGGCGUGCUUAACACAUGCAAGUCGAGCGGUAAGGCCCUUUCGGGGUACGACGAGCGGCGAACGGGUGAGUAACACGUGGGUGACCUGCCCUCAGCUCUGGGAUAAGCCUGGGAAACCGGGUCUAAUACUGGAUAUGACUCCAUGACGCAUGUUGUGGGGUGGAAAGCCCUGUGCGGCUGAGGAUGGGCCCGCGGCCUAUCAGCUUGUUGGUGGGGUGAGGCCUACCAAGGCGACGACGGGUAGCCGGCCUGAGAGGGCGACCGGCCACACUGGGACUGAGACACGGCCCAGACUCCUACGGGAGGCAGCAGUGGGGAAUCUUGCGCAAUGGGCGAAAGCCUGACGCAGCGACGCCGCGUGA
rnacentral:rRNA from 1 species